GACGAACGCUGGCGGCGUGCCUAAUACAUGCAAGUAGAACGCAGUUGCGUACGGGUGAUUAACGCGUAGGUACCUACCUAUUAGUGGCGGCUAACUAUUGGAAACGAUAGCUAAUAACGCAUACUAGUAGAUUGACCUGCGUUGUAUUAGCUAGUAGGUCGGGUAAUGGCCUACCUAGGCAACGAUACAUGGCCGGGCUGGGGGGGUGAUCGACCAAACUGGGACUGAGACACGGCCCAGACUCCUACGGGAGGCAGCAGUAGGGAAUCUUCGGCAAAUGGGGGAACCCUGAACAAGCAACGCCGGGUGAGUGAAGAAGGGUUUCGGAUCGUAAAGCUCUGUUGUGAAGGAAGCGGUACUUAAACAGAAAGGGACGGCUAACUACGUGCCAGCAGCCGCGGUAAUAC
rnacentral:rRNA from 1 species